AAAAACAUGUUCUUUUGUUUAUAUAAAAGGUUUGGCCUGCCCAAUGAUUAGUUUUAAUGGCUGCAGUAUCUUGACUGUACAAAGGUAGCAUAAUCAUUUGUCUUUUAAUUGAAGACUGGAAUGAAUGGUCGGAUGAGGAAUAUACUUUCUUUACUUAAUUAAAUGAAUUUGAUUUUUAAGUCAAAAAGCUUAAAUAUAUUUAUAGGACGAGAAGACCCUGUAGAACUUUACUGUCUUUAAGUUGUUUUGAUUUUUGUAAUUUUUAUAAUUUUAUUGAAAUUUUUAUUCAGUUUUGUUGGGGUGACAAAAAAAAUGUUUUAACUUUUUUUAUUUUUUACAUUUAUUUAUGUGUAUUGAUCCAAUAAUAUUGAUUAUAAGAUUAAGUUACCUUAGGGAUAACAGCGUUAUUACUUUGGAGAGUUCUUAUCAAUAAAGUAGUUUGCGACCUCGAUGUUGGAUUAUAAUAAGUAUCAUGGCGCAGUGGCUUGUUUACUAGGUCUGUUCGACCUUUAAUUUUUUACAUGAUCUGAGU
rnacentral:rRNA from 1 species